AGAACGUGAAACUACCACGAGGUUAAAGCGGAUGUACAUACGUAGCCGAAAAGGGGGUCUCAAUUCCAAGAGCCGCCAGGCGUGGCCGCGUUCGGACCGUCGGCGCCCUCGCCCUUCGCGGGUCGAGGUAGCGUCGGAGGCCGUCGCGGUUUCGGACUCGGUGGACGAUGGGGUGGAUUUCUCUCCUUAGUAGGCAGUCGCGGCCGUUCGAGAGUUGUCUAAGGCUCGGCGGUUGGGAACCGUCCAGCCGCGCAAGUCGCUGGCGGGGACUCCGCCUUGAUUCUGACGGACUCGCGGACGGUGAAACGAAGACGAAUCGGUCUGAACAAAGAGACCGAUUCGUACGCGGCUGUAAGUGCGAUCGUUCAUCCGUCCCGUCUUGAAACACGGACCAAGGAGUCUAACAUGUGCGCGAGUCAAAGGGUAGGCUAAACCCAGAGGCGCUAACGAAAGUAAAAAAGGCUUCCGAACCCUCUUCGGGGGGCUAGGAGUCGUUGGGUCGAUCCGUGCUCCCAACAGUGGACCGGCGCAGACCCGGGGCUCGCCGCUACCCCUCACGUUUCCCUCCUCGGGGGGAUUCGGGGCGGACGGCGGGCACCUAGAGCGUACAUGCUAGUACCCGAAAGAUGGUGAUCUAUGCCUGGCCAGGAUGAAGCCAGAGGAAACUCUGGUGGAGGUCCGUAGCGAUUCUGACGUGCAAAUCGAUCGUCAGAGCUGGGUAUAGGGGCGAAAGACCAAUCGAACCAUCUAGUAGCU
rnacentral:rRNA from 1 species